rnacentral:rRNA from 1 species
UACGUAGGGUGCGAGCGUUAAUCGGAAUUACUGGGCGUAAAGCGUGCGCAGGCGGUUCGCUAAGACCGAUGUGAAAUCCCCGGGCUUAACCUGGGAACUGCAUUGGUGACUGGCGGGCUAGAGUAUGGCAGGAGGGGGGUAGGAAUUCCCACGUGUAGCAGUGAAAUGCGUAGAGAUGUGGAGGAACACCGAUGGCGAAGGCAGCCCCCUGGGUCAAGAUUGACGCUCAUGCACGAAAGCGUGGGGAGCAAACAGG